ensembl:misc_RNA 7SK 7SK RNA
GAAUGUGAGGGUGAUUUUGCUGCGAUAUUUCUCACUCCAUUGUUCACCAAGGUUGAUUCCACCCAUCUGGCUAGGUGGAUGUCCCCUUCCUCCCUCACCGCUCCCUGUGUGUCCCUCCUAAAGCUGCUCCCUCUGUCAAAGUGGAUGACCUUCCCAGAUAGAGUUCUUCUGUCAAGUGUAUGGGAGUAGCUGCACUCCCCUGCUGAAACCUCCAAACGAGCUCCCCAGGUCCAUUUGUAGAACAGAAGGUUGUCAAGCUUCUAAGAUUCCAGACACAUCCAAAUGAGGCACUGCAUGUGGCAGUCUACCUUUCUUU